rnacentral:rRNA from 1 species
UGCAGUCGAGCGGUAGCACAGAGAGCUUGCUCUCGGGUGACGAGCGGCGGACGGGUGAGUAAUGUCUGGGAAACUGCCUGAUGGAGGGGGAUAACUACUGGAAACGGUAGCUAAUACCGCAUAACGUCGCAAGACCAAAGUGGGGGACCUUCGGGCCUCAUGCCAUCAGAUGUGCCCAGAUGGGAUUAGCUAGUAGGUGGGGUAACGGCUCACCUAGGCGACGAUCCCUAGCUGGUCUGAGAGGAUGACCAGCCACACUGGAACUGAGACACGGUCCAGACUCCUACGGGAGGCAGCAGUGGGGAAUAUUGCACAAUGGGCGCAAGCCUGAUGCAGCCAUGCCGCGUGUGUGAAGAAGGCCUUCGGGUUGUAAAGCACUUUCAGCGGGGAGGAAGGCGGUGAGGUUAAUAACCUUGUCGAUUGACGUUACCCGCAGAAGAAGCACCGGCUAACUCCGUGCCAGCAGCCGCGGUAAUACGGAGGGUGCAAGCGUUAAUCGGAAUUACUGGGCGUAAAGCGCACGCAGGCGGUCUGUCAAGUCGGAUGUGAAAUCCCCGGGCUCAACCUGGGAACUGCAUUCGAAACUGGCAGGCUAGAGUCUUGUAGAGGGGGGUAGAAUUCCAGGUGUAGCGGUGAAAUGCGUAGAGAUCUGGAGGAAUACCGGUGGCGAAGGCGGCCCCCUGGACAAAGACUGACGCUCAGGUGCGAAAGCGUGGGGAGCAAACAGGAUUAGAUACCCUGGUAGUCCACGCCGUAAACGAUGUCGAUUUGGAGGUUGUGCCCUUGAGGCGUGGCUUCCGGAGCUAACGCGUUAAAUCGACCGCCUGGGGAGUACGGCCGCAAGGUUAAAACUCAAAUGAAUUGACGGGGGCCCGCACAAGCGGUGGAGCAUGUGGUUUAAUUCGAUGCAACGCGAAGACCUUACCUGGUCUUGACUCCACAGAACUUACCAGAGAUGCAUUGGUGCCUUCGGGAACUGUGAAACCGGUGCUGCAUGGCUGUCGUCAACUCCUGUUGGGAAAUGUUGGGUUAGUCCCGAACGAGCGCACCCUUAUCUUUGUUGCCACGGUCCGGCCGGAAUCCAAGGAAA